rnacentral:rRNA from 1 species
CGUGAAGUCGGAAUCGCUAGUAAUCGCGGAUCAGCAUGCCGCGGUGAAUACGUUCCCGGGCCUUGUACACACCGCCCGUCACACCAUGAGAGUCGGGAACACCCGAAGUCCGUAGCCUAACCGCGAAGGGGGGCGCGGCCGAAGGUGGGUUCGAUAAUUGGGGUGAAGUCGUAACAAGGUAAC